GGUAUAGCUCAGUGGUAGAGCAUUCGAAUGCCAAUUGAGAGGUCCCUGGUUCAAACCAAGGUAUCCCCU